ACAGUCCUGAUGUGUUCGUUGUAUCCCUUGAGUUUGACCGAACAUUUUUUUGAUCGGGAGCCCGAGUUUCCGGAAUGAGUAAAUGCCUUUCAAAAGGACUUGCGAAUUUUCCGGAACAGGGCACCCACCUGCUGAGAGCGGGUUCAAAACAAAGGAUGAACACGACGGCACGAUUGGGACUUAC
rnacentral:other from 1 species